ACGAACGCUGGCGGCGUGCUUAACACAUGCAAGUCGAACGGUGAAGCGCCUUCCUUUUUGGUGGGUGUGGAUGAGUGGCGAACGGGUGAGUAACACGUGAGUAACCUGCCCCCUUCUUCUGGAUAACCGCAUGAAAGUGUGGCUAAUACGGGAUAUUCUGGGUCUGUCGCAUGAUGGGUCUGGGCAAGAUAUUGUUUCGGUGGGGGAUGGGCUCGCGGCCUAUCAGCUUGUUGGUGGGGUGAUGGCCUACCAAGGCGGUGACGGGUAGCCGGCCUGAGAGGGUGGACGGUCACACUGGGACUGAGACACGGCCCAGACUCCUACGGGAGGCAGCAGUGGGGAAUAUUGCACAAUGGGCGCAAGCCUGAUGCAGCGACGCCGCGUGAGGGAUGGAGGCCUUCGGGUUGUGAACCUCUUUCGCCAGUGAAGCAGGCCUGCCUCGUUUGUGGGUGGGUUGACGGUAGCUGGAUAAGAAGCGCCGGCUAACUACGUG
rnacentral:rRNA from 1 species